AUUCUUUUGCAUGCAACUGAGUGA
rnacentral:siRNA from 1 species